rnacentral:lncRNA from 10 species
AAUGGGGACAGGCCUGUCACAAGGAUCACUAGAGUCUUGCUGGCAAAAGCAUCUUACUGCAUUCAUGCUGCAGCACAGGACCCAGAUGCAGAACAGGUUGGGGACACAGCCCUGCCUUCUAAUAGUGGACACCAUCUGAGAGCUGAGCCAUAGAUUCAAAGCCUAACUCCUAAUAGCGAUUGGUAGUAAUAUCAUCAGCAGUUCAUAUACAUGGAGUGACAACAGCGUGCCAGGCAAUUCAAAGGGUCUCUCGGUCCUCACAGCAUUUUUGAAGUAGCUAACAUCACUAUCCCCCUUUUACAGUUAAAAACAACAACAACAACAACAAAAACACAAAACCCUGAGGCUCAGAAGAUAAAUAUUUGCUGAAGAUCACUGUGCUUAUUAGAUGGGUGUUACUGAUUCUUACCUCAGAGAAGAGAAUGUCAUGGAGACAAAAUGACCUGCUUAGAGUUCUGCACCCCCCAGCAUGGAGAGCAGAGCGCAAAGAUUUCUUCCGGACUCCCACAUUCCCCUUGGAAUCCAAGAACUGGUCUACUGUCACAACACUUUAGUACCCUCUUCUCCCAAGGAGGCAGCAGAAACUGGGGUAAUCACAACGGUCAACAGCAGCAAAGGCA